GAUGAACGCUGGCGGCGUGCUUAACACAUGCAAGUCGAGCGGGCAAUUUAUCUAGCACUGAUUACUUCAAAUGGAAAUCAUAAGUGUAAUCAUGAAUUUCUACCUUUAAUAAAGAAAAAAGAAAUUCAUGUACGCAAAUAGUGAUAACACAUUUUAGUGGAGUGAUGAGUGCUGGAUAAAUUGCUAGCGGCGGACGGGUGCGUAACACGUGGGUAACCUGCCCCUAUCACUGGGAUAACACACUGAAAAGUGUGCUAAUACCAGAUAAUAUAAGCUUUUGGCAUCAUUAGCUUAUCAAAGAAUUUCGGAUAGGGAUGGGCCCGCGUCUGAUUAGCUAGUUGGUGAGGUAACGGCUCACCAAGGCAACGAUCAGUAGCCGACCUGAGAGGGUGAUCGGCCACACUGGAACUGAGACA
rnacentral:rRNA from 1 species